rnacentral:rRNA from 1 species
CCAGACUCCUACGGGAGGCAGCAGUGGGGGAUAUUGCACAAUGGGGGGAACCCUGAUGCAGCGACGCCGCGUGGGUGAAGAGGUAUUUCGGUAUGUAAAGCCCUAUCGGCAGGGAAGAAAUUGGACGGUACCUGACUAAGAAGCCCCGGCUAACUACGUGCCAGCAGCCGCGGUAAUACGUAGGGGGCAAGCGUUAUCCGGAUUUACUGGGUGUAAAGGGAGCGUAGACGGCAGUGCAAGUCCGGAGUGAAAGCCCGGGGCUCAACCCUGGGACUGCUCUGGAAACUGUAAAGCUGGAGUGCGGGAGGGGCAGGCGGAAUUCCUGGUGUAGCGGUGAAAUGCGUAGAUAUCAGGAGGAACACCAGUGGCGAAGGCGGCCUGCUGGGCUUUUACUGACGCUGAGGCUCGAAAGUGUGGGGAGCAAACAGGAUUAGAUACCCGGGUA